UACGAGGGGGGCGAGCGUUGUUCGGAAUUAUUGGGCGUAAAGGGUGCGUAGGCGGCCUGACAAGUCUGAUGUGAAAUCCCUGGGCUCAACCCAGGGCCUGCAUCGGAAACUGUCGGACUUGAGUAUGGGAGAGGUGAGUGGAAUUUCCGGUGUAGCGGUGAAAUGCGUAGAUAUCGGAAGGAACACCUGUGGCGAAAGCGGCUCACUGGACCAUUACUGACGCUGAGGCACGAAAGCUAGGGGAGCAAACAGG
rnacentral:rRNA from 1 species